AUUGAACGCUGGCGGCAGGCCUAACACAUGCAAGUCGAACGAGCGGCGGACGGGUGAGUAAUGUCUGGGAAACUGCCCGAUGGAGGGGGAUAACUACUGGAAACGGUAGCUACUACCGCAUACUAUCGGAUGAGACCAGAUGGGAUUAGCUAGUAGGUGGGGUAAAGGCUCACCUAGGCGACGAUCCCUAGCUGGUCUGAGAGGAUGACCAGCCACACUGGAACUGAGACACGGUCCAGACUCCUACGGGAGGCAGCAGUGGGGAAUAUUGCACAAUGGGCGCAAGCCUGAUGCAGCCAUGCCGCGUGUAUGAAGAAGGCCUUCGGGUUGUAAAGUACUUUCAGCGAGGAGGCGUUACUCGCAGAAGAAGCACCGGCUAACUCCGUGCCAGCAGCCGCGGUAAUUC
rnacentral:rRNA from 1 species